UCCUAAUACAAGGCCUGAAGCCUGGAGAAAAGGCGCGGCAGGCUUUCCCGGAAGUCUGAGGAGGCGGAUUAGCCUCCGCCCUCCGACAUCCCGCCCCGCGCUCGCCUACUCCGCCCAGCUUCUCGUCCGCGCGCCGCCUUCGAUUCUCGCCUGCAAGUGUCGGGCCUUCCCCGUCAUCAGGUUUGCGAACGGCCCCGCCCGCUGGUUUGUCUUGGCCACCUCGGUUGGGAACCUUCCCGCAAAUCAGGCCUGAGUCAGGACCGGAAGCCCGUGAAGUGCUGAUCGGUUCCCGACAGUGAGAGCACCAAGUCACGGUACCCAUUUGGUGGGAGGGAAGUGGAGCACCGCCCAAGAAGCCUCCGGUUGGCGUCUGGGGCUGGGCACCAGGAGCUGGAAAUGACCCGGCCUUACUCCGAGGCGAGUGGUGAUCCCAUAGAUCUGAACACCUCAUAGCUCUGUGCGUGUUCCAGCUGGGUCGUGUUCACUCCAGGUCCUGAUCUCCUCUCUGAUCCUCUCAUACCAACUAUAGGCGUGCUGUUUAAAAGUGUUCUUAUGGAUGUGUCAACCAGGAAAACUCUGGUUCAACGGAGUUCAGCAGUUCUCUAAUUAAAUAGGUUUUGGGGUCUUUAAUUUGCUAAUAUAAAAAAAAAUGCUAAUAUACAUUUUUUGGUCUUUUUUAAAUUGAAGUGUAGUUGACUUACAAUGUUGUGUUAAUUUCUGCUACAUAGCAAAGUGAUUCAGUUAUACAUAAUAUAAUCUUUCUCAUAUUCUUUUCCAUUAUGAUUUACUACAAGGAUAUUGAAUAUAGUUCCCUGCUAGGAGCUGAAUUGGAGCUGUAGCUACUGGCCUACACCACAGCCACAGCAACGCCAGAUCCAAGCCGAAUCUGUGAACUACACCACAGCUCACGGCAACACCAGAUCCUUAACCCACUGAGCAAGGCCAAGGAUCGAACCUGUGUCCUCAUGGUUACUAGUCAGGUUCAUUUCUGCUGAGCCGCAAUGGGAACUCCUGCAAAUAUUUUCUUCCAGUUCAUAUGUUGUUGUUUUGUUUAUGGUUUCCUUUGCUUUGUAAAAGUUACAGCUACAGCUCUUAUAAAUUUGAUUAGAUCCCAUUUGUUUAUUUUGCUUUUAUUUGUAUUGCCUUGGUGUACUGACCUAAGAGAAUGCUGCUGUUUAUGUCAGAGAAUGUUUUGCCUAUGUUCUCUUCUAGUUUUAUGGUAUCAUGUCUUAUAUUUAAAUCUUUAAGUCAUUUUGAGUUUAUUUUUGUGUGGGGUGUAAGGGUGUGUUCUAACUUCAUUGAUUUACUUGUGGCUAUUGAGCUUUCCCAACAGCACUUGCUGAAGAGACUUUUUCUACAUUGUAUAUUCUUGCAUCCUUUGUCAAAGAUUAAUUGACUGUAGGUGUAUGGGUUUACUUUUGGGCUCUCUAUUCUGUUCAUUUGAUUCAUAUGUUUUUUGCCAGUACUGCACUGUUUUGAUUACUAUAACUUUGUAGUAUUUUCUGAAGUCUGGGAGGGUUAUUACUCUAGGUUUAUUCUUUCCUCAGGAUUGCUUUGGCAAUUUCUGGGUAUUUUGUGGUUCCAUAUAAGUUUUAGGAUUAUUUGCUCUAGUUCUGUGGAAAAUGCCAUGGGUAAUUUGAUAGGGAUCAUGUUAAAUCUGUAAAUUUCUGGAGUUCCCAUUGUAGCACAGUGGAAAUGAAUCCAGCUAGUAUCUAUAAAGAUGCGGGUUCAAUCGCUGGCCUUGCUCAGUGGGUUAAAUGAUCCAGCGUUGCCAUGAGUGUUGUCUGUGAUGUAAGACACAGAUGCAGCUCAGAUCCCUAGUUGUUGUGGCCGUGGUGUAGGCCAGCAGCUGUAGCUUCAUUUCAACCCCUAGUCUGGGAAUUUUCAUAUGCCACAAGUGCUGCCCUAAAAAGAAAAAAAAAAAAA
rnacentral:lncRNA from 1 species